GACGAACGCUGGCGGCGUGCUUAACACAUGCAAGUCGAACGGAAAGGCCCUGCUUUUGUGGGGUGCUCGAGUGGCGAACGGGUGAGUAACACGUGAGUAACCUGCCCUUGACUUUGGGAUAACUUCAGGAAACUGGGGCUAAUACCGGAUAGGAGCUCCUGCUGCAUGGUGGGGGUUAGAAAGUUUCGGCGGUUGGGGAUGGACUCGCGGCUUAUCAGCUUGUUGGUGGGGUAGUGGCUUACCAAGGCUUUGACGGGUAGCCGGCCUGAGAGGGUGACCGGCCACAUUGGGACUGAGAUACGGCCCAGACUCCUACGGGAGGCAGCAGUGGGGAAUAUUGCACAAUGGGCGGAAGCCUGAUGCAGCAACGCCGCGUGCGGGAUGACGGCCUUCGGGUUGUAAACCGCUUUCGCCUGUGACGAAGCGUGAGUGACGGUAAUGGGUAAAGAAGCACCGGCUAACUACGUG
rnacentral:rRNA from 1 species